UACGGGAGGCAGCAGUGGGGAAUAUUGCACAAUGGGCGAAAGCCUGAUGCAGCUAUGCCGCGUGUAUGAAGAAGGCCUUAGGGUUGUAAAGUACUUUCAUCGGGGAGGAAAAAACAAAACUAAUAAUUUUAUUUCUUGACGUUACCCGAAAAAGAAGCACCGGCUAACUCCGUGCCAGCAGCCGCGGUAAUACGGAGGGUGCUAGCGUUAAUCAGAAUUACUGGGCGUAAAGAGCACGUAGGUGGUUUUUUUAAGUCAGAUGUGAAAUCCCUGGGCUUUAACCUAGGAACUGCAUUUUGAAACUGAAAUACUAGAGUAUCGUAGAGGGAGGUAGAAUUCUAGGUGUAGCGGUGAAAUGCGUAGAUAUCUGGAGGAAUACCUGUGGCGAAAGCGGCCUCCUAAACGAAUACUGACACUGAGGUGCGAAAGCGUGGGGAGCAAACAGGGAUUAGAUACC
rnacentral:rRNA from 1 species